rnacentral:rRNA from 1 species
CCUACGGGAGGCAGCAGUAGGGAAUAUUGCUCAAUGGGGGAAACCCUGAAGCAGCAACGCCGCGUGGAGGAUGAAGGUUUUCGGAUUGUAAACUCCUUUUGUUAGAGAAGAUAAUGACGGUAUCUAACGAAUAAGCACCGGCUAACUCCGUGCCAGCAGCCGCGGUAAUACGGAGGGUGCAAGCGUUACUCGGAAUCACUGGGCGUAAAGAGCGCGUAGGCGGGAUAGCAAGUCAGAUGUGAAAUGCUAUGGCUUAACCAUAGAACUGCAUUUGAAACUGUUAUUCUAGAGUAUGGGAGAGGUAGGUGGAAUUCUUGGUGUAGGAGUAAAAUCCGUAGAGAUCGAGAGGAAUACUCAUUGCGAAGGCGACCUGCUAGAACAUAACUGACGCUGAUGCGCGAAGGCGUGGGGAGCGAACGGGAUUAGAUACCCCAGUAGUC